rnacentral:rRNA from 1 species
GACGAACGCUGGCGGCGUGCUUAACACAUGCAAGUCGAGCGGGAAGCUUCGGCUUCUAGCGGCGAACGGGUGAGUAACACGUGGGCAACCUGCCCCGAGCUCUGGAAUAACCUCGGGAAACCGGGGCUAAUGCCGGAUAUGACACUGCCGGGCAUCUGGUGGUGUGGAAAGAUUUAUUGGCUCGGGAUGGGCCCGCGGCCUAUCAGCUUGUUGGUGGGGUGAUGGCCUACCAAGGCGACGACGGGUAGCCGGCCUGAGAGGGCGACCGGCCACACUGGGACUGAGACACGGCCCAGACUCCUACGGGAGGCAGCAGUGGGGAAUAUUGCGCAAUGGGCGAAAGCCUGACGCAGCGACGCCGCGUGAGGGAUGACGGCC